GUUGAUCCUUCUGCCACCCUGCGGAGCCUUGAAAUGCAGCCGGAGACGGUUGGCUGAGCGACAGUAAAUAAUUCGGCCUUGAUGCAAGUCAGCUCUCGCUGGCGACACUUUCGAAUUGCCGGGGACGUCCUAAAGCCCUUCACACCAAACCAGCUGGGGAAACCCGCUGGCGGCCCGUGGGAAACCAUCGGGGUAUGGUAACAGAGGAAGGUAUGAACCAGGGUGCCUUUUGAGCGUCUCUGGGGAAAUGGAUUAUCCGCAGCGAAGCCCCUUCCCCUUCUUGUAAGGCAUGGGGAACGUUCACAGACUAAGCGGAAGUGGGUGGAGUCCUUGGUGUCUCCGCUUAAGAUAUAGUCGGGCUCCUUGAGAAAUCUUGGAGACGCAAAGCUUGUAGCAGUAACCGUUCCGUAGGUGAACCUGCGGAAGGAUCAUUACCUGGCCUUGGGCCGCUCGGGGGAGCCAGUCGCUUGCGACGACGCUGCCUUGGGCGCUUAGCCCUUGACUAUCACCUUGACUACGUGCACCUUUUGUUGUUUCCUCGGCAGGUCAUCUGCCGCCAGGAACCCCCUAAACCUUUUUGCAUCAGCAUCUAAACUUCUGAAAACAAACCAAAUCAUUUACAACUUUUAACAAUGGAUCUCUUGGUUCUGGCAUCGAUGAAGAACGCAGCGAAAUGCGAUAAGUAGUGUGAAUUGCAGAAUUCAGUGAAUCAUCGAAUCUUUGAACGCACAUUGCGCCCCAUGGUAUUCCGUGGGGCAUGCCUGUUCGAGCGUCAUUUACCCCCUCAAGCUCCGCUUGGUGUUGGGCGUCUGUCCCGCUUCGCGCGCGGACUCGCCCCAAAGGUAUUGGCAGCGGUCGUGCCAGCUUCUCGCGCAGCACAUUGCGCUUCUCGAGGCACCGGCGGGCCCGUGUCCAUCAAGCUCACCCCCCCAGUUUGACCUCGGAUCAGGUAGGGAUACCCGCUGAACUUAAGCAUAUA
rnacentral:rRNA from 1 species